rnacentral:lncRNA from 1 species
UUUUUUUUUUUUUUUUUGCCACACCCAUGGCAUAUGGAAGUUUCUGGGCCAAGGGUCAAACCAGAGCCACAGCAGUUACAACAAUAAAUCCUUAACCACUAGGCCACCAAGGAACUCCUUUAGUGUAUACUUUAUACAAAUACUUUUAUAAAGCCAUAUUAUAAUCAUCAAAAUCAGAAAAUCUAUAUUGAGCCAUUAACCAAUAAUGUUUAAUGUUCAAGCUUAGCCAAAUGUCCCAAUAAUGUCCCUCAUAGCAAAGAGACCUAGUUCUGAAUCUGAUGUUGUCUUUUCAACAUGUCCUCCUCAUGCUUUAGGUAAUUCCUCAAUUUCUGGCACAUAAUUGUUCUUUUUCUGUCUCAAACCUGGCAUCAGCCAUUUCCUCAAAGAGCCCUGUUUCUUUUCUGUGGAGAACAGUAUUUAGAAGAUAAGAAAAAAAAAAAAGGAUUCUCUUGUAUCAAGAAAGACGUUCCUGGUUUUCUUUCUCCAGGAACCCCCUAACCUAUCUGCUUACACUUACAUCUUCUUAGAGAAUACACAAAAAAUCAUGAGCAGAAUGUGAUUAGAAAUAUGGACAGUAAGGGCCAUUCUGGUGAGGUCUCCAAUAAAAAUAAGAAACAUGUUAGUAGAAACUGGAGGAAAGGUAAUCCGUAUAGUAAAGAGGCAAAGAACUUGGCCAAAUUUUGUUCAUAUUCUCACUUUUUAUGGAAGGAGAACUUGCAAAGAAUGAAAUCGGGUAUCUAGUUGAGAUUUCAAAGCAGUGUUAAAUGAGUUGCUUGGUUCCUCCUGACUGCUUAUAGUAAAAUGUGAGAAAAGAAAAAAUAAAUUUAAAAAAAAGAAAAGCAAAUGUUAAACCAGAAAGAAUCAGAGCUUAAGGAUUUGGAAAAUCCUUGGCUUUCCCAUAUUCCAGAAAAUGAGAAAAUGUAUUCAGAAAAGAACCACUAAUGGUAUAGUCAAACAGCCAUUUAAUAAGGCAAUCAUUAUGGGUAUAAGCCCCUUCCCUAAUCAGGCACCCCAACAGAAGCACUUUCAGUUUGAACUGAAAAAGACAGAGGCAGGAUGAAAUGAAGGACUUCUUAGAUGCUACAGAUCACAGAGCUCCACAGCUGCCAUUGUGUGGUAUGCUUCAGAACCACAAGAAAUGACCCUGAAGGCAAUUCAGAGAUGGUCAAGGCUGUUUCUUUGGUUUCAAAGCAAAGGGGAUGGAGGCAGGGAGUGGAUUGCUAUCAACAGGCCAGACAGCAGCCUCUUCAGAGACAUGGAGACAAGGUACCUUGGGCGCUAGGGGCAGGGCCACCUGAACCUUUGUGAUAUGACCCCCAUCUGACAGAGUCCUGCGGGUGAGACCCAGGCCAAGGAGAGGAAGAGAAAAGAAAAGAAAAGAAACAAGAAAAGAACAAGAAAAAGACCUUGGUAUCCAUGUCAGUCCUAGACUCCUCAUCUCCCUGUCUCAUCCUCCUCACUAAUUCAAAAAACUCACUUAAAAUUCAUCACUUAAAGUUUACCUUCAGUACCACCUAUGAGAAGUAGUCUGUGACACCUGACUCCACCACAAGACUGAAUUAAGUUUAAAAAAAAAAAAGAUUGAAUUAAGUCUUCUUCCUUCAUGCUUCUAUAACACUUGAUGCAUACCUGAAUCCACACAACUCAGAUUGGGACUCAAACCCUGCCAAAACCCAGACUGGGACUUGAACCCAUGUACUGGUACUCUAACCCAGCCAAAACACAGACUGGGACUUGAACACACUAUCUUGUAAUUAAAGUCACACACACCUGGUGUCAGGACUUUACUGAAGUUCUUUAUGUCUCAGCACAGAAGGAAUUCAGCAAGAGGCAAAGUGAUAAGUAAGAAGUAGAUUUAGCGAGAAAGGUAGAGUGUAGCCAUCUUAGAAGGCAAGAGCAGCCUUGAAAAUACACAUGCCAUAGACAGAAUGCAGUCCAUCUCAAAAGAAGAGCAGCCCCAAAUAUGGGGUGGUGAGUUGUUAUGGGCUGGGUAGUUUCAUAGGCUAAUAAGUGGGAGGAUUAUUCCAAUUAUUUCAGGAAAGCGGCUAUAAUUUUCAGGAAUUGGACCACCAUCCACUUUUUGCCCUUUUAAGGUCAGCCUUGGAACUGUCACGACACCCGUGUGUGUGUCAUUUAGCACGCCAGUGUAUUACAAAGAGCGUAUAAUGAGGCUCAAGGUCUCGUGGAAGUCCAAUUUUCCGCCAUCUUGGGCCCAAUAGGUUCCAAAAAUUUUCUGUCCCAUCCUCAACGGUUACAUCGUUCCUUUAAAGGUUGUAAAGGUUGUGCCCUGCCCCCUUCCCUCCUGUUUCAUACCUUCUUUAAUAAACUUACUACACUGAUUUUUAAUCAUAUAUUUAUGUAUUUAUUUUCUCCAUUAGACUAAAAACAUCUUAAAAGCAGACCACCAUGUUUUAUUCAUUUUUGUAACCUGUGUAAAGGUAUUAUUAUUACUCCCUAAUUUUAUCAUUCCAUUAUUUCCUAGACACAUCUGACAUACUAAUUUUAGCAAUCUUUUUUAAAAAUAAGAAGAAACCUUUCAAAAUAUCUUUAUCAGUAUCCUCGUUUUAGAGCUCAGGUAACUGAGACCCAUGAAAUUUAAGGAGACUUCUCAAUUCAUAACAGAAGUCAAAUGAGAAACCAAAUCUCUAGUCUGACAGUCAAGUGCUGUUUCAGUGCCUCACAAACGCUCCUUUAUUGCUAUAUCUUUAUAAGCAAAUCCAUAAAUGAUCUAUGACAGGCUGCUUCUAAAAUGGUCCCCAGUGAUCUCUCGGCUCCUGGAAUUGUAAUCCUCUCCCCGUGUGUGUGGUCUGGAACCUAAUGACUUGCUUCUCGUGAAUAAAACCCGUGAAUAAAAUGCAAUUAAAUUGAUGGGAUGUCACUUCCAAGAAUAGAUUAAGAAAAUCUGGGACUUCUGUCCUUGCCACUUUCUCUCUUGCUGGUGCUCUUUUGCUCUUUUUGCUGGCUCACUCUGAUGAACCAGGCUGCCUAGGAACUAAAGACAGCCUCAGUUCAACAACCCAGAAAGAACUUAAUCCUAUUAAUAACCAUUUCUGUGAGCUUAGAAGCAGAUCCUUCCCCAGUUAAGUUUCAUAUAAGACUACAACCUCAGCUGACACUUUGAUUGCAAUCUUGUAAGGGUCCUUGUGUUAUCCUGUGCCCAGAUUGCUGACCCAUGGACACUCUGAAAUAAUAAAUUUUGUUGUUUUAAGCUAAAAAGCUUUGGGGUGAGUUGUAGAAGCAAUAGAAAACUAAUAAAUAUUUUGUACCUAUAAGUGUCAGGUUACUAUACAAAUACCUGGAAAUGCAGUAGUUGCUUUGGAACUAGACUGAAAGGAUUUUGAAUAGCAUUACUGAGAAAUUCUAAGUUGCUUUGAACAGGCUGUUAACAGAAAUCUGUAUUUUGAAAAUGCUGCCAGUGAGGGUUCAAAACAAAGUGCAGAAACUAGAAGGAGGAUUCCUGUUAUAGAGAGUCAGAAAACUUAGCAACACUGUCACCUGCAGUUCUGUGAAAAACAGAAUGUAUACCACUAGCCAUCAUGCUAUGAGGAAACCCAAGAGCCGCACAAGAGGGUAUUUAGAAGUGUUCUGCUGACAGCCCCAGCUAAGGUUCCAGCAUGAACUAUUCCAUUCCUAGCAUGAAGGGGAAUGAGAAAGAUUUCUCAUGAUUCUAGACCCCAGUUUUCAAGUUACUCCCAAACACAGAGUCGUCUUCCCAUAGAGCAGAGUCCCAUAUCACAGAGCAGAGAUAAGAAUUUAUUUUGUCCUUUCCAAAUUCUUGAUUCAUGGAAUUUGUGACUAUAAUAAAAUGUUUGUCACUUCAUUCCACUAAGUUUGGGGCGUCAUGUUAUGCAGCAAUAGUAACUGGAGAAGAUUACAUCAACAAAAGUUGCAAUGGGAUCAGAAGGUGGUACUCAAGACCAGGGACAACAAGAUAUCUCAGUAAGGGUUACCCAGGAAAUUAGACAGCAUGUGGACCAGACACUUCUCCCCUGGUGCUAUGAUGUCAUUUGUAUAAGCUAUAACCAGAUGACAUCCUUAGGAAAUAAAAGCAAAAGUUCUUAAAAGUGGAAAAUAAUCUUGAUCGAAAUGUGAAUUUUGAACUAAGUAUACAUCUUUAAAUUAAAUAAAUAUUUAUUAUAAAUACUCUAUGGUUUAUACUGAGAGUGACUGAGUUACUUGCAAAAUGGCAACAUUGGGAAUUUCCCACUGUUUGCAAAAAUGGGGAGAUUCCAGAGCAAAACUGAGUUCAAUUAUAGAGAAGUAAAAUUUAUAUUUAUGAAUUCUUGAGUUGUGCUUGUAAAUUUUAAACCCUGCACACUUAACAAUUACUUGCUUGUUUUGGUAUCUGUAUUCUCUACUGACAAUAGACUUUCAGAGAACCAAGAUUAUGAUUACACUGCUCAUUAUUCUAUUCCUAGCUCCUAGCACAUGAUUUGUCACAUCACAGAAGCACAAUAAAUAUUUGUUGAAUGAAUAAAUGAAUAGAAAUACAUGCUAACUGACAAUCAUAGGGAUCACCAUGGUAAAAUUCUAUCCUCAGCUAAUAAGCAAUUUUAACAAGUAUGAAUCUUUUUGUUCACAAUCAUAAGCACAUUAUUUCCUCCAAUUUAAUUUAGUCUCAGGUCUGAGCUUCCUAGUUGUUGGACUAUCAAGAAUAUUAUCCCAGUCUUACCAGGGUUCUCUCACUCACCAUCAUGAUAGCUAUUGCCUUCUUCAGAGUCCAAGCUUGAAAUCUGUCCGCUCUUUGCUGCCUCUAUACCUCACUGAGAGCAUGAGAACAUUGUGU